GCUCCAGUAGCGUAAUGGCUAACGCGUCUGACUUCUAAUCAGGAGAUUGUGGGUUCGAGUCCCGCCUGGAGUA
rnacentral:tRNA from 1 species